rnacentral:rRNA from 1 species
GAUGAACGCUGGCGGCGUGCCUAAUACAUGCAAGUCGAGCGAACAGACGAGGAGCUUGCUCCUCUGACGUUAGCGGCGGACGGGUGAGUAACACGUGGAUAACCUACCUAUAAGACUGGGAUAACUUCGGGAAACCGGAGCUAAUACCGGAUAAUAUAUUGAACCGCAUGGUUCAAUAGUGAAAGACGGUUUUGCUGUCACUUAUAGAUGGAUCCGCGCCGCAUUAGCUAGUUGGUAAGGUAACGGCUUACCAAGGCAACGAUGCGUAGCCGACCUGAGAGGGGGAUCGGCCCCACUGGAACUGAGACACCGCCCCCACUCCCAAGGGGGGGACGAGUGGGGAAUUUUCCCCAAAGGGGGAAAGGCUGAGGGGGCAAGCCCGCGGGGGGGAAGAAGGGGUUUGGGAUGGAAAAACCUUUUUUUUGGGGAAAAAAAAAUGUGGAGGAAACAAAGCCGGUUUGACGGGAACCAAACAAAAAACCCCGGCUUAACUCGGG